rnacentral:rRNA from 1 species
CUACGGGUGGCUGCAGUGGGGAAUAUUGGAUAAUGGGGGAAACCCUGAUCCAGCAAUGCCGCGUGUGUGAAGAAGGCCUGCGGGUUGUAAAGCACUUUCGGUUGGGAGGACUGCUUCUAGCACUAAUAUUGUUGGAAGUUGACGUUACCUUCAGAAGAAGCACCGGCUAACUCCGUGCCAGCAGCCGCGGCAAUACGGAGGGUGCAAGCGUUAAUCGGAAUUACUGGGCGUAAAGCGCGCGUAGGCGGCUAGAUCAGUCGGGUGUGAAAGCCCCGGGCUUAACCUGGGAACUGCAUCCGAUACUGUCUAGCUUGAGUACAGGAGAGGAGAGUGGAAUUCCACAUGUAGCGGUGAAAUGCGUAGAUAUGUGGAGGAACACCAAUGGCGAAGGCAGCUCUCUGGCCUGAUACUGACGCUGAGGUGCGAAAGCGUAGGGAGCAAACAGGAUUAGAUACCCCGGUAGUC